CCGGGUACAUCCAGAGAUACGGACGGAGAAAAUAAGUCAAAUCGCGGGAAAAUAAUAUGAGAGUUUUGAAUUGAUGCUUUGCGCGUUUUUGUAUUGGUGUCGA
rnacentral:ribozyme from 1 species